AUGAUGACGAAGAUGAUGAAA
rnacentral:miRNA from 1 species